GUGCUCCUUUUGGCAGCAUGUAUAUUAAAAUUAGAAUGAGAUAGAGAAGAUUAGCCUCUGAGCAAGAAUGACAAGCAAAUUCAUGAAGCAUUCCAUAUUUUU